GGGCCGGCUUUAGCCCAGCGGUUACUUCGGCAAUUUGCGUCCUGCUCGCAACUUCGCCCCGACUGGGGUUCGAUCCCGCGGGUACCCCUGGCCCUUUU
ensembl:misc_RNA Vault Vault RNA